GGACCCGGGGGCGCGCGGGCCCUUGCUAGGACGCAGAGGCCGAGCGCACCUCAGCGCCCAUCCGGAGCUGCCCGCUGCCGGGCAGCUCUCGGGGUCGUCGCUGCCGGAGUCACUUGGGGAUGGACAGCUGAUCGGCUGGUCCGACUCCCCUCCCUCCACCGCGCAGCAGCCCCGCCCGGCCCCCUACCUGGCACAGCAGGGCAGAGACCACGGCAAGGGCUAGCGCGCUCCGACGGCCCAUGGUACCGCUGGACGCCCUUGCUCUCCUAGAGUAUCCUCUUUUCUUUCUUCUUCAAAGACCCAGGGAUGCCAGGAAAGUCUAUAUGACCCGAGGAGUACUGGCGGAAAGGCGUCUCUCGGCUCCAGCUUCUUCGCGGAGGGAAAGAGGAGAAAGGAGAUAAGACACAGAGGGAAGAGAGCCCAGAUGUUCAGCUUAAUUCCCAAGAGAGCUUGCAGUGGCUUCCUUCGCAGGCCUAUUAGGAAGCGGCGGUCUGGAAAUCCCACCGGUGAGGCGAUAAUCCGGGGCCCCGAGGGGCGCGGUGGGAACGGUGGUGGCAAGGACUGCGGCGCGCGCCCUGGUUUCCCGGCCCGGCGUCACUCGGCAGCCGCUGCCGCUCCCAGAGUGUUCUAGACCGGUAUCUCUUGCACUAUCGCCAAGCCUCGCGUCUUCCUCAAGAAUUCAGCCAAUGCCAUGCGAGAACACACACCGAGGACCGGAGGCCGAAGCGUGGGAGGCUCCGUGCCGCACCGGUGCUCUCCCGUGACCUGCCCUGGUCAGACAGGGUAACCGCGGGUGCACGCCGGAGGAUCUGGCCCGGGCUGGCGCCUGCCACCCUUAAAUCCUGCCGGCCGCUCGCAUAACUAAUGAGAUGCAAAUGAGCAGCCCCCCAAUCUGGCGAGAGCUGUCACAAAGGAGCCACUUUUCCAAACCCUCCUCUCAAUGGAUCGCCAAAUGGUCAGUGAGCUGUAAAAUGUGCAACCCUCCUCNNNNNNNNNNNNNNNNNNNNNNNNNNNNNNNNNNNNNNCCUCCCCGCCCCCUAGUCCUCUCUGCCUCCGCCCUCGCCCCUUCGCCUCCCUCCCCCAGCGCAAAACCCGCUCAUUUACAUUCCUGCAAAACGUUCCCGGAGACGAACCGCUCUGCUCCCGGAGCUGGAGCUGAGGCCGCGUCGCCCACCGCCCCACCGCCACAGGCCCGAAGACCCUAGGCACGCUGGGCGGCCUGAGCCUCCCACUCGCGGACACCCCCAGACACCGCAGUGUCCCGGAGCGCUGCUGUCUCCGUGUUGUCCACGAUCACUGGAAAUGGGGAAUUGGGGUCCGGAUAGUGUAUUCCCUGAGCCAGCAGAGCCAAAAGCUAAGCUUACCCCUUUCCCGGUGUACACACCCUCUCCCGGGAGAUUUUCAACCAACACCACCUUCACUGGUGUCCGGUCCCACUCUCCUGGGUAUUCCCCUCAGGCCUCCCUCUGCUUGGUAAAAAGUGAGUUUGGUGUGUGUCGUUCGCGUGGCUGUCAUUAAGGCAGUCUGUUAUUGUGCGAGGCUGAAUCAGUGGCUCUUUGUGCGCUCAGCUGUAUGGUAAUGCAGACAGCACCUGCUCUCUGCACAAUGCGGAGAGAAAGAGCUCCCCUCCGCGCACGCCGCGGCCUCUGCGACAAUGUCCGGCACAUGUUUGAAAGACUCCCCCCACCUCACCCCCCAACACAUAACCUUUACACAACCGUCACCUUAUUAGGUUUUUACACAUCCAUCAGACACUAGAACUUUUGUUUUCUUUUUUUUCUUUUUUUUUUUUUUAAGGGAAAUGAGUUUAUUGGGAGGGCCCAGGACACACGUAUCACAAUGAAUUACCUAAACGGCUCCCCUGGUUACAAGCUCCAGAGAAAAGUAAAUGGAGAUAUAGUCUCUGACUUAGCACCUAGCUUUGUGUUGAGCAUGCCAUGAGCUGUAUAUUCCCAUCUUUAGAGGGGCCUCUUUACUCCACCCCCACCACCUAGGCAGCUUCAUUAGAAUCCCGAGGUGUGAUUCUUGGAGCUAGUGUUCCUUUGAUUGUAGCACAGCCCCUAGGGUGUACCUGACAGGUGUCCUCACUGUAGGUGUUGCUGUCCUGUUGGUGAGAAUGAGCCCUGUCCUGGCAGAGUAGCUUGAUCAUUUAGGCCAGUAUCUGGAGCAAGAUGUAUAUAAUGCACAGAAAGAGAGGAAAACCUUCGCAUGCCCAGAGAAACACUGCUAACAAGAAUCUAGCAGUUACUGGGCAGAAUCAUCUGUGUUGGGCCAUCUGGCAACUGAAAUUACAGCUCCUUUUCUGAUGACCCAGCCUGCCUACUGCUACCCUGUCUCCCAAACACUUUCAAAGUUUCAGAAUCAACAGGAAUUUCUGCACUUCACGUCGUCAUCGCCAACUCACAGACAAUCAAAGAGUUAACCAAAAAGCCAUGUGUAUAAUACUCAAGGCUGAGGUGAGAAAGGCAGGGUUAGAUCCCACUUUUUAAAAAACCUGUUUAUUAUAGAACAAAUGGAGGCUUCAAAAGAUACUGACACCCCUAAGGCACACCCCCAUGGCCGUGGCAAAAACAGUCCCUGUCCUUUGUAAACUGUGUAGGGAUUUGCUACAUCACCACAAGGCUGGGCUAGCUUGAAUCCUAACUUAAUCUUGCCACCUAGUGUUAGGAUUCCUUUUUCACUAGCUAAUGUUUCCUGGGAAAGUUACUUUCUGAGAACUCUGUUUCUCAGAGCUCUGAAGCUGCUCUCUGUUGGGACUUGGGAGUGGGACUCAGGUGACAGGGGGUUCCUACAGCAGAGGGGAUUCAAAGAAGAAAAGAAACAAGGUCAGAUGCAGACUCCUCUGUGCCUUCGAGAUUACAAGAAGAAAUGAAAUAUCAGGAACCUUUUAAUUAGAAGAUGGAAGUGGAAACCAGGCUUGUUUGAAUGCCUGUUUAGAAAACUGGAAAUGAAAAGUUUCACGCGCAAGGGCUUAGACCCUGAGAGGGGUGGACUUGUCCCAAAUCUUGAACAAACCCCCCUUAGUAUUAAGUAUUUGUUAAAUUGACAUGGCACAGAUUUCUCGAUUACAGUGGCAAAGCAGUUCUGAAAGGCAUCGUAAAAUCCAUCAGAAUCCUGCCCAACGCAUUCAUUCUUUUCCAACUUAAUUUAUGCCACACCAUUCUGUAUUGGGGAAAUCAAGCAGAAAGCUCUUUUUUUCCUCCCUCCUACUCCUUCUGCUCUUCUUCUUCCUCCUCCUCAUCCUCCUGUUUCCCCAUUCUCAAUCGUCCACCCCUAAGUUGGUUCCUAUUCCCUUCUCUUUCAAACACAGAGCUAACGGGGAGACUGUUUAACUUCAGUGAUUCUAUAGGAGCCUGUUGUAGUUUAACUCCUGCGUACCAGUAGCUGAGAGGAACAAAGGACAGACUCGAGGUCCAGCUAUUCAUCCUUUCUUUGCACUUUAAUUUUCAUUGAUUGGGAAGACAAGGGGAGCCCUUAGGGAUUCGAGCCGGGAGGGGGAUGACACGCCUUUAGACGCCAUCAGCCCCCUAGCCAGCCAUCUGCUCCGAACCAAAUGGCGUUUUUUCACUCCCUAACUGCAUGUCUCUAUACUCCCACAGCUAAGCACUCAGAACCCCCCAAAUGCAGGAGGGAGCUUAAGCCAGAGUAUGUUAAAUAGAUUUGCCUGAAUGUUGGCCUAGCCAACAGAUUUCCCCUCCCCACACACCAUAAAUCCUCACCUUCACCAUUAGAAGAAAGAAGGAAACUUUCUUUUAAAUGCUUUUUGAUGUUUCAGCAAAUUUACUGUACAAAGUGUGGCUCAUUAGAGCUGAGGAGACACCGAAUACAUCAGAUACAGGACUAGAAGGAAGUAUUUGUUGUCUGGUGGUAGUGUUGAUUUUUUUCCACAUGCCCCCCCCCCCAGCCCCAAUCUGAAUAAUUGCAAUGGGUGGAUAGGGCAGACUCAGGUUGCAUAAUAAUCAGAAUUAAAGCCACAACAAGU
ensembl:lincRNA A930024N18Rik RIKEN cDNA A930024N18 gene